rnacentral:rRNA from 1 species
GUUAUAUGGUCAAGUGAAUAAGCGCAUACGGUGGAUGCCUUGGCAGUCAGAGGCGAUGAAAGACGUGAUAGCCUGCGAUAAGCUUCGGGGAGUCGGCAAAUAGACUGUGAUCCGGAGAUCUCUGAAUGGGGGAACCCACCUGACAUAAGUCAGGUAUCUCACACUGAAUCCAUAGGUGUGAGAGGCGAACCAGGGGAACUGAAACAUCUAAGUACCCUGAGGAAAAGAAAUCAACCGAGAUUCCCUAAGUAGUGGCGAGCGAACGGGGACUAGCCCUUAAGCUCAAUUGAUUUUAACCGAACGCUCUGGAAAGUGCGGCCAUAGUGGGUGAUAGCCCCGUAGGUGAAAGGAUCUUUUGAGUGAAAUCGAGUAGGACGGCGCACGUGAAACGUUGUCUGAAUAUGGGGGGACCAUCCUCCAAGGCUAAAUACUACUGACUGACCGAUAGUGAACCAGUACCGUGAGGGAAAGGCGAAAAGAACCCCGGAGAGGGGAGUGAAAUAGAACCUGAAACCGUAUGCGUACAAGCAGUGGGAGCCUACUUUGUUGGGUGACUGCGUACCUUUUGUAUAAUGGGUCAGCGACUUAUAUUCAGUGGCAAGCUUAACCGUAUAGGGAAGGCGUAGCGAAAGCGAGUCUUAAUAGGGCGUUUUAGUCGCUGGGUAUAGACCCGAAACCGGGCGAUCUAUCCAUGAGCAGGUUGAAGGUUAGGUAACACUGACUGGAGGACCGAACCCACUUCCGUUGAAAAGGCAGGGGAUGACUUGUGGAUCGGAGUGAAAGGCUAAUCAAGCUCGGAGAUAGCUGGUUCUCCUCGAAAGCUAUUUAGGUAGCGCCUCAUGUAUCACUCUGGGGGGUAGAGCACUGUUUCGGCUAGGGGGUCAUCCCGACUUACCAAACCGAUGCAAACUCCGAAUACCCAGAAGUGCAAGCAUGGGAGACACACGGCGGGUGCUAACGUCCGUCGUGAAAAGGGAAACAACCCAGACCGUCAGCUAAGGUCCCAAAGUUGUAGUUAAGUGGUAAACGAUGUGGGAAGGCUUAGACAGCUAGGAGGUUGGCUUAGAAGCAGCCACCCUUUAAAGAAAGCGUAAUAGCUCACUAGUCGAGUCGGCCUGCGCGGAAGAUGUAACGGGGCUCAAACUACACACCGAAGCUACGGGUUCA